rnacentral:rRNA from 1 species
CGAGUGGCGAACGGGUGAGUAACGCGUGAGGAACCUGCCUCAAAGAGGGGGACAACAGUUGGAAACGACUGCUAAUACCGCAUAAGCCCACGACCCGGCAUCGGGUAGGGGGAAAAGGAGCAAUCCGCUUUGAGAUGGCCUCGCGUCCGAUUAGCUAGUUGGUGAGGUAAUGGCCCACCAAGGCGACGAUCGGUAGCCGGACUGAGAGGUUGAACGGCCACAUUGGGACUGAGACACGGCCCAG